UACGUAGGGGGGCGAGCGUUGUCCGGAUUCAUUGGGCGUAAAGCGCUUUAAGGCGGUUCGGUAAGUCGGGGUGUGAAACCUCCAGGCUCAACCUGGAGACGCCACUCGAUACUGCUGUGACUAGAGUUCGGUAGGGGAUCACGGAAUUCCUGGUGUAGCGGUGAAAUGCGCAGAUAUCAGGAGGAACACCAGCGGCGAAGGCGGCGCUCUGGGGCUGGCACUGACGCUGAGGAGCGAAAGCGUGGGGAGCAAACGGG
rnacentral:rRNA from 1 species